GACGAACGCUGGCGGCGUGCUUAACACAUGCAAGUCACGGGGGCUGGAGCAAUCCAGUAACCGGCGAACGGGUGCGUAACACGUGAGCAACCUGCCGUACUCAGGGGGAUAGCCGGCCCAACGGCCGGGUAAUACCGCAUACGUUCUCGCAGGGGAGUCCCUGUGGGAGGAAACCCUCCGGGGGAGUACGAGGGGCUCGCGGCCUAUCAGCUAGUUGGUGCGGUAACGGCGCACCAAGGCGACGACGGGAGCUGAUCUGAGAGGAUGGCCAGCCACAUUGGGACGUGAGAGACGGCCCAGACUCCUACGGGAGGCAGCAGUGGGGAAUCUUGCGCAAUGGCCGAAAGGCUGACGCAGCGACGCCGC
rnacentral:rRNA from 1 species